ensembl:lncRNA
CUGAGGGAGCGCGGCCCUGCGUCUCAGAGAUCCCUGAGAUGGGGGCGCAGCUGCCUGACGCCCUCGCCCGCCGGCAGGAGACCACGCCCCCACCCCGGAAGCUAUUUCUACAGCUUCCGGCUUUGGUUCCCCUCAGUCCGCUCCCAUCUCCGGCAUGAAUCUCACGUGUCUGCGGGCAGAGGCUGCGACAGGCCGCACGACGGCAGGGCCUGUGGGAGAAGCAGGAAGUCACUCCCUGGUGAGGGGCCAGGUCCCCCAGCUGCUGGGGACACUAAAUGACAUGCAGACUCAAAGCGUCCAGCCCGGAGCUGGCCUCCUGUCCCUGCUCCUGCCUGCCCUGAUUGCCAGUCCGCCCUGGGACAGCCUGACUUCGCCGCACCUCCACACCCCGCGGAGGCCGCCCUGCAGACCCUGCAUCUCUCCCGGCCCCGCUAACAAGAGAACAGAAGUGGCCAGAAGGAGUCACGUCGUUUCUUUUGUUUACUCUGUAUCUUCAGAACCUGCGCUGUGCCUGGAAUGCCAUAGGCACUCAGAGCCCUCCUGGUUGCAUCAUCUGCCCUGGGCUAGAAUUGAGUGCACCUCCUUUCUGGUCCUCAACAAGACUCCAGAGGCUCUGGGCCCAAACCCCCAGUUCAGCUUGGAGGCAGGUAGAAGUGGGGGGACCUGCUCCCAGCACCUGGCCAGUUCUGGCUCCCUGCCUCCCAUUGUGCACUUCCUGGCACCUUUGAGCUAACACCGAGGCCUGCAGAUGAUUGCCAGCCGUUACUCGCAAAGUCUCCAGCCCCGCCCUGGACCCACAGAACCAGAGUCUACCUUUUAGAAAAAUCCCAGGGUCAUUCAAGUGCUGCUUCCAGUUUGAGAAGUGCUGGUGAACCUGCUCAAAUGCCUCCUUCUCCCAGGCUAAGGAAAAUACUUUGCUGAGACCAUCUUGAUUUCUUUUUGUCUCUGCAGUUAUUGAAACAGACAGCGCGUGCGGCUGAGGGGGGACGGGACUUAGCGUUACUGCGCGGAAACAGUGAAGGGCAAACCCAGCAAUUAGCGGCAGAGAGUGGGGAGGCGAGGCAGGCAGGAUGGAGAGCCAGGGAAACAGCGACCAUAAUUGCAG